GAAAAAAGCCAUUUCUACACGACCGAAUCCCCGGGUUAAAGAUGAAAUGUGACUGGUCUUCCCUGUCAUUUUAUAGCAACACUGAUGCUACGGACACAGGUCUAGGCGCCGUUCUGAGCCAAAGCAUCGAUGGUGUCGAGCACCCCGUGAUUUACCUGAGCCGGAAACUGUUGGACCAGGAGACAAGAAAGAAUGAAGCACCUCCACCAUGAAUUCACCUGGACUCGCUAAGAGAAACAAGCGACUUCUGGGUUCCUUCCUUCCCUCUGGUCCCCUUCUGAUGACAUUGUUACUUCCAUCUACCACCACAGUUCCUUCCCAGCAUUCCGUUUGUCUACUUCCGGUCCCACCCCAUAAAUUGUCCACCUGUCAAUUCCACCAUUGUCUGUUGUACUCUGA